AACGAACGCUGGCGGCAGGCCUAACACAUGCAAGUCGAACGGGACCUUCGGGUCUAGUGGCGGACGGGUGAGUAACGCGUGGGAACGUGCCCCUUGGUUCGGAAUAGCCCCGGGAAACUGGGGGUAAUAGCGGAUAAGCCCCACGGGGGAAAGAUUUAUCGCCAAAGGUGCGGCCCGCGUUGGAUUAGGUAGUGAGCGAGGUAAUGGCUCACCAAGCCGACGAUCCAUAGCUGGUUUGAGAGGAUGAUCAGCCACACUGGGACUGAGACACGGCCCAGACUCCUACGGGAGGCAGCAGUGGGGAAUCUUAUAAAAUGGGGGAAACCCUGAUCUAGCCAUGCCGCGUGAUCGAUGAAGGCCUUAGGGUUGUAAAGAUCUUUCAGUGGGGAAGAUAAUGACAGUACCCACAGAAGAAGCCCCGGCUAACUCCGUGCCAGCAGCCGCCGUAAAAC
rnacentral:rRNA from 1 species